GACAGAGGGGGCAAGCGUUGCUCGGAAUCACUGGGCGUAAAGGGCGCGUAGGCGGGAUGGCAAGUCGGUCGUGAAAUCCUUCGGCUCAACCGAAGAACGUCGGCCGAUACUGCCGUUCUUGAGGGAUGCAGAGGAGAUUGGAAUUCCCGGUGUAGCGGUGAAAUGUGUAGAGAUCGCGAGGAACACCAGUGGCGAAGGCGAGUCUCUGGACGACUCCUGACACUGAGGCACGAAAGCUGGGGGAGCAAACAGG
rnacentral:rRNA from 1 species